UACGUAGGCAGCAAGCGUUGUUCGGAGUUACUGGGCGUAAAGGGUGCGUAGGCGGCUUUUUAAGUCUGGUGUGAAAUCUCCCGGCUCAACUGGGAGGGUGCGCCGGAUACUGAGGGGCUAGAGUGUGGGAGAGGAAAGUGGAAUUCCUGGUGUAGCGGUGAAAUGCGUAGAUAUCGGGAGGAACACCUGUGGCGAAAGCGGCUCACUGGACCGCAACUGACGCUGAGGCGCGAAAGCUAGGGGAGCAAACAGG
rnacentral:rRNA from 1 species